AAAUAAGUGUUUUAUGGCACUUUUUAAAUCCAUAUCCACCUUGUGUGCAAUGUCAGUCGAUCUUCUUCAUGGAGAUCGACCAAACAUCAACCUUUAUCUUUUAACUCUUUGUCUGAAAAAUAUUAUGAAUAAACAAUUCAAAAUA
rnacentral:misc_RNA from 1 species